rnacentral:rRNA from 2 species
AAAUUGAAGAGUUUGAUCAUGGCUCAGAUUGAACGCUGGCGGCAGGCCUAACACAUGCAAGUCGAACGGUAACAGGAAGCGGCUUGCUGCUUCGCUGACGAGUGGCGGACGGGUGAGUAAUGUCUGGGAAACUGCCUGAUGGAGGGGGAUAACUACUGGAAACGGUGGCUAAUACCGCAUAACGUCGCAAGACCAAAGAGGGGGACCUUCGGGCCUCUUGCCAUCAGAUGUGCCCAGAUGGGAUUAGCU